rnacentral:rRNA from 1 species
GACGAACGCUGGCGGCGUGCUUAACACAUGCAAGUCGAACGGAAAGGCCCUGCUUUUGUGGGGUGCUCGAGUGGCGAACGGGUGAGUAACACGUGAGUAACCUGCCCUUGACUUUGGGAUAACUUCAGGAAACUGGGGCUAAUACCGGAUAGGAGCUCCUGCUGCAUGGUGGGGGUUGGAAAGUUUCGGCGGUUGGGGAUGGACUCGCGGCUUAUCAGCUUGUUGGUGGGGUAGUGGCUUACCAAGGCUUUGACGGGUAGCCGGCCUGAGGGGGUGGACGGGCCCAAUUGGAACUAGGUAACGCCCCGGAUCCCUACGGGGGGCAGAGGGGGGAAAUUUUCAAAAAUGGGCGGAGGCCUGAUGCAGAAACGCCGGGUGGGGGAGAACGGCCUUGGGGUUGAAAACCGCUUCCGCCUGUAACAAGGGGUGGGGAAGGGAAAUGGUUAAAGAAGCACCGGCAAACUAGGG